UACGAAGGGUGCAAGCGUUACUCGGAAUUACUGGGCGUAAAGCGCACGUAGGCGGUCUGUUAAGUCGGAUGUGAAAGCCCCGGGCUCAACCCGGGAAGUGCAUACGAAACUGGCGGACUUGAAUAUGGAAGAGGGUCGCGGAAUUCCCGGUGUAGAGGUGAAAUUCGUAGAUAUCGGGAGGAACACCAGUGGCGAAGGCGGCGACCUGGGCCAAUAUUGACGCUAAUGUGCGAAAGCGUGGGGAGCAAACAGG
rnacentral:rRNA from 1 species